rnacentral:lncRNA from 1 species
AUCAAUUAGUCCAGGCACAUUGACACAAGCCCCUGGAUUUUGCAACGUGAUGGCGGUGUUUGACAACUACCAUUCUGCUUUAGCUUUCCUCCAGAAUACCUGCCUUGCAUUGGCCCUGGGUAAAUGUUUCCCUUGGCUGUGAAUAGGCAAUUAAAAUUCUGAACCUUUUAUGGCUCUGGAAGCUUAUCCGAUGAAACAAUACUCAUCCAGGCGGAUGGCCCACCAGCGCAAAGGGCUGAGGCCGCUGUAAGCCAAGGUACGCAACGCUUGCUAAACAGGAAUCCCUGGAAUGAAUCCAUGCAUGAGGCCUUUGUGCCAUGUGACAGUUGAAGGCUGUGGUGACCCCGGAACCGUCCCACUCCGAGACGCCUUAACACCGUUUUUCUGCUGUUACAAACCACAGAGCAACGCGUGUGCCUCCUCCCGCCCUGGGGACUCUUUCUGUGGGAGAGGUGCCUGGAUUUAGAGGAGCGACCACUCUUCAUUUGAUCUUGGUCACUUUCCCAGUUGUCACUCGGCCCACAAACUAGGAUGUGAGCAGCAUAUUAAGAAUCUGCAGAGAUGUUCCCGUCUGCCCGGCAUAUGGAUGUCCUUCUGGGCUGCAAAGUGGCAUCCUGUGGGCAACUCCCCCCACAACAACCAGCUGUGAGCUGUGCCCAGGCACAGAGGGACCUGGCUUUCCCUGUUUCUGCAGAUGGAGCCCAGGGUUUCAGGGAGGGAGGGGGCAGGCUGGGACCUGUUGGGGAUCUGGGCACUUUCUCAUGCUCCUUGAGCUGCAAGUCAUAGAAGGAGUGGGGUGGGAGCUGGGAAUGUACCUUCCCAAGGCCACUGGCAGAACCAGCAGGCCCUUUGCUCUGGGAUGAGCUCCCUCUGAGGGGUGGGGACAGUAAAGCGGACCGAAGUCCCUGUUCUGCGGGAUGGAAACUGGCUCCCCUCCAUUGUACAGGCCAGCUCUGGGGAUUUGGGCAGCAGAUUUGGGGUUGACAGCAGAAUGACAUGAUCACCAGUUGACCUUGGCCAGGAUGCCAGCUUACUUUCUCGCUUACUUCUGCAGGUUCUUUGUUCUGCGG